rnacentral:lncRNA from 1 species
CCAGAGGCCGCUCGCGCCGGGUCCUUCCUCUAACCCAAGUGCAGGCAGAGCCCCCGGAGCCAUGGCCAGCCCUUCCGGCAGCUCCAAAGCCACAGGCAAGCCCCGAGGCUGGGAUGGCCGGCCCAGGAGGGAGGAGGACGACGUACCUCCCGAGGAGAAGAGGCUGCGGCUGGGGCUGGAAGGGGGAAGCGCACAGCCCGAGGACUGCGAGGACGGGGAGGACGCGCCGCGGCCAGGCAGGGAGGAGACCGGCACCCAGACAGGUGGCGACGGCAGAGGAACACAGUGGCUCACACCUGUAAUCCCAGCACUUUGGCAGGUCGAGGCUGGCGGAUCACCUAAGGUCAGGAGUUCGAGACCAGGCUGGCCAACAUGGCGAAACUGUCUCUACUAAAAAUACAGAAAUUAGCCAGGAGUGAUGGCACACACCUGUAAUCCCAGCUACUUGGAAAGCUGAGGCAGGAGAAUCGUUUGAAGCGGGGAAAGCGAGGUUGCAGUCAGCUGAGAUCACACCACUGCACUUCAGCCAGCCUGGGUGACAGA